CGUGUAGGCGGCCAGGUAGGUCGGUUGUGAAAACUGGAGGCUCAACCUUCAGACGUCGACCGAAACCAUCUGGCUAGAGUCCGGGAGAGGAGAGUGGAAUUCCUGGUGUAGCGGUGAAAUGCGCAGAUAUCAGGAAGAACACCCGUGGCGAAAGCGGCUCUCUGGAACGGUACUGACGCUGAGACGCGAAAGCGUGGGGAACGAACA
rnacentral:rRNA from 1 species